AUUGAUCUAGCAGUCAUUCUGGAUCUCUGAAUUGUCAUGUUUAGAACAUAUUGCAGGGGAUAUCAGCUCUGGCCCUCGAGGACCACUGUCCUGCAGACUUUAGCACCAACCCUGGUCCAACACACCUGAACAAGCCAAUCGAGCUCUUUUGGUUUACUGACUAGAAAGUCACAUGUGGUGAGAUUGAUCAGCUAAAUAAACCUAAGGAGAGCCGCUCAGGCACAGGUCACUGCAUCUUUUGCUGUAUAAAAAAGCACACAAAAAGCGGCCCAGCCACAGCUUCCGAAGUGGAAACUCCUGUUAAAUCAUGGCUCCAUAAUGCAAGAGACCGGGAUGGUGGAAGGAGCAGAAGAACCAGAAGACUGGAGAUCAGGCAAAGAUCUACUGGUACCUGAGGGGAUUGAUCACUCAUCUCCAUCCACAAAUGAAUGAUUGCUGAAUGAUCAUGUGACACUGACAACUGGAUGCAGGCUGCUGAAUAUUAAGUUUUAAUAUCACAGGAAAAUUUUACUUUGUAAAAUAUAUUAAAACAGUUCAGGGCUCGACAUUAAGCCUUUUCCUGUAACGAGUAAAUCGGUCAUUCACAAACUCUGUUGUAAAUACAAUUUAUUCUGCAGCAUCAGUGUUAAGGCCGGCUGUGACAUGUAUAAAUCUGCAUAUUUAUGAUAUUUUUACCUUUAUAAAGGGCAUUUUACCCAUUGUUAAAUAAAUGCUUCAUCUUUCAUUUUAAAUUUUUAAAUUUGAUCAAUAAAUUAAAUUAGUGUAAUAAGACACUGUUACCAGUCAAAUUAAAUAAUUUACACUGAAAAAUUACAACUGCAUUUAAAAAUGUUGUGAGAUUAGAUAAUAAAAAAAUGUCGGAAAGAAUGAUACUUUUAAACAUGAAACUAAACUGCCAGUAGGUGGCGGCAGGUAACUGUCUUAAUGAGUGACAAAAUGUAUAAUUUUGGGUGAUUGGGACAGUGCUUAAAUGCUUUGCUAAUUAAGAAAAUUAUUAGCCUUGCAAUAGAGAACCAUUGUUUAUGCUCUAUAUGCUCUAAAUCAGUGUUCCCAACCAUGUGCAAGCCCUAACCAACCACUAAAAUAUUCAUGAACUAGCUAGAUUUUACUAAAGUAAAACAACCAAAUUCUGAAAAUAGAAACAUAAUAGUUAAACUCUUUUUAUUUUCUUUUUUUUUUUUUUUUUACUGAUUGCAGUAAUAAUUUUACUGUUGCAGUAAUGAAAGGUUUGUGCAGGUUAAAUUUGUUUGUCAAACAGUUAAUUGGUGAUGGGCCCACCAACAUCUCAUCUAAAGGUUACCAAAAAAAGUUUUGUAUCAGUUUACUUUUUUUUUAUUUUUUAUGGGGUAUGAAUUUUAGGGUUUUUUUACUUGUUUAAUUGAUUUUAAAAUGUUUUCAAUGACUUUUGGACUUCAAACCUUCUUUUGAUGGAUUUCAAAUAAAUAAAGUUGAACAAACAUAAACAUGGACUUUUAAUGAUGAUGAACAGAAAAGGAAAUAUUGCAUAUAAAAUUAUAUCAAAGUAUGAACUGUGCAAUACAGUAAAUAUGCUUAAACUACCCUAAAUCAAUAGAAAGACAUGCUGUCUCAAUCACCCAAACGUUACCAAACAAAUGGUUUUGCUCAGUUUGCAGAAAAGUGUAUGUCGCACACAGGGGCGGCGCCAUCCGAUUUUGCCGGGGCUUUAGCCCCGAAUGUUUUGAGUCAAGCCCCGAAUGUAAUGACUGUCACUGAGCAAAUAUGAAACUGGACAAUAGCCUAUGUAAACCUCCGAAAUCAUAAGUUGCUUUAUUUCAUUGCGCUUUGGCUUUGCAUAUACUGCAUACAGCCUGUAAAAAUAGACCUUAAAAAUAAUCUAGCCUAUAGAAUACAUUUCUUUGCUGUCGGUGUUAAAUGAGAAAAGCAUCAAAUAGACAAUGGAAAAAAUAGAAAAAAAGGAAAUGGCUCUCUUUUAUGAACGGACCAUUGAACCAUUGGUUCCCCCAAUUUGUGCAAAAUGUGAACUGAUUCAGAAACACUGCUGAGACCCACAG